GUGCUCCGCGUUUUUUACUGGGAACAGAAACGGGAGUUCCGGGACAGGGGGAACGGAACAGAAGUGUGGCUGCCCCCGUCUGCCCUCACCUCCCCAGAAGGAAAAGCCAGGUUGGCAUUGGUAGUGAGCACCACACCACUUAUCCAGUAGAGGAAGGCAAAAGAAGAGGCACAGAGAGGACGAGGAAUGCAAAAUUCACUGAUUUUUUACUUUUGUGAAUGCCAUGAUAGUAUUGGUAUCUCCUGCUUUCCGUGCUGUCUACCAAUGGAGUCAUGGUGCUGCCAUGGCAUUGGUGGAAGACUCUCAAACCACUGCAAGGCUCCCAGCUGGACAUCCCGUAACAGUUCAUUAUGAGGUUGCUUCUCCCAGUUGCCCUGGACCUGACAGCUGCCAGGGAAAUUAAACCUUGUUGCCAGUGAAGGAAACAGCAAUGACUUUCAGCUGUGUAGACUAAAACUGAAAACUUACAUCUUACUGCAAAGCUUCUUGGAAUAAACAGCUAUAUGUAGAUACAGCAAUAGUGGCUGAAAGACAGCUUCAUCCUGAGAACCAUGGGAACCAACCGGGAAGGAAUUACAGUGGGGAGGAAAAAAAAAAAAAAAGAAAAAGCAAGACAGAUAGAAAGAAAGAUUGAAAUCUGUGGAAAUUCAAGAGAUACAGCUAUUGUGAAAUCAAGCCACCCAAAGAGGGAGCACGUGCAUAUCCACACAUAAAUUGUCCAAGCUGCCAUCCUCAAGUGCUUAGACAGUGCCAAGCAAGCAGCUGGCACUCCUGCAAAUACUUGACAGCAGCGACCUGGGCACAACACUGAAAACUGAUUAAAUGAUGUGGUAGGAGAUACAACAAACAGAGCUAUCUUCAAAAUGCUGUCAAAUGUGUGAAACAAGCAAGUUGAGAGAAAUGAAUAAAAGAAAAAGAGCUUCAUAUGCAUUUAGUUAAAAGAACUUUGGCUCCUAUUUUUAUUUUAAUGAAGAAUUGCUGUUUCUUUUUCUAGGAACUAUCAGUCAUCUCUUCCUCCUUCUCUUUAUCUAGAAAAAUUACUGAAUAUAGCACAGCAAUUAAUUUUUCUUCCAUGUCUUAAGCACCCUACUUUCAAGUACCUGCUCCCCUUUACAUUCUGGGAAAAUCUAUGCUAGAGCCACUGACACAAAAGAGCUGCACUGGACUGAAAGCACUGCAAGCAUUACCACAAGCUGAACCAUACUCUUAUAGGAAUGGCAGAGUAUGUCUCUGAUGCAAAAUACCUACCCAACGUUGUAUUUCACGAUUAACAUUAAUCUGCUACAGGCCCAACACAGAAGUUGCCUGUUUGCAUAAAUGCAUGCAUGAACAUGUGCGUGCGUGUGGACAUUCAGACCUCAGCUUCUCUGCCAGGCUCCCAUAAGGCUGCUGCUUCUCUCCAUGAGUAAUCGCUCAGAGUCGGCCCUAUACCAGACUAAUUUUUGACUGUCCCUUCCAAAGGCAUUAUAGUAAGGACUU